UGGGGCGUCGUCAAGCGGUAAGACCCUGGAUUUUGAUUCCAGUAUUCGCAGGUUCGAAUCCUGCCGCCCCAUCCA
rnacentral:tRNA from 1 species